rnacentral:lncRNA from 1 species
CAGCUCAGGGGUUGUUUCUUAUGGAAUCCAACCUAUGACUGUUGACGCCAGGAGUGGUCCUGGGAAGGAGACUCUGAAAAUUUUGGAGCUGGCUGGGAAUAAGAGUCCUGUUGCUGUUGGAUAUCUGAGAGCAACCUUCUGCCAGGAUUUGCCCUGCCCACAGGCGUUAGCAUGGACUUGAUGACUGCGGUGUGGCUUUUACUUUCUCAAUUUUCCAGAGCUCAUACUCCUCAAACUCCAGAGGAAUAAGAUGGCCAGCAGUCAGGAAGGAGAUUUGAAUGUGGAGCACAGCAGAGUGAGCACGAGCUGAAACCCUCCAAGCAUAUUUUCAUCACUGUAUUGCCUGUGAACAUCUUCAGAGUGUGAUGACUCCUACUUCCUCUGAAUCUCAUGUGAGUUCCUCUUUUGGCAGCUCUAACUCUAACCUUACAGGAAAGGGGAAUAUAGAAAACACAGUUCCCAGAAAGAACUAGUUCCAACCAGUCGAUUGAACCACUCAGCACAGCUUCUAAAAGAGGACUCCCUGGACUGUUAGGGUCUUGGAAACCAUGUCACACAAAAAUUGUCUCAUGUAACUGAAGAUAAUCAUUCUGGAGAGCAGAGGAUUAAAAAGAGGCAUGCCAUUAAAUAUUAGAAACACUUCUGUGUCGAAGACAAAAAUUGACUUACACCUAUAAAUUCUUCAGAUUUUCUCUCCUAAAUUCUAUGGAAAUGUAUCAAUAUUUUCACUGAUUAAAAUUUUUUUCCCACCUGU